CAGUUGCCCAUGUUGCGCAGGGCAGAUGGAGUCUGAAGUGAAGGUCAGGAAAAGAAGUUGUGACACAUGCCAGGAAGAGGAAGGAUGACAGGCAAAGUAAACAUCAGGAAAGCAGAAGGAUUCACGGUACAAUAAAGCAGUUUAUGAGUGCAUUUGAAGAUAAAGGCAGCAGCACAGAAGACUUGGAUUAAGAGAUCAGAUAACUGCUGAAGAGCCAUUGCAAUGUUUUCAGGCUCUAAAUAGCCUCUACCCACAAAGCAAAACUAAGCCCUGAAGUGGGUGGGAACAGAGGAAAGCACAUAUAAUAUAUUGUUUUAUUUCCUACAAUGAGAAAGUGUUCCAGAAAUAGUUUCAUCUCCUUUAAUUAACUCUUCCCUUCCCUUCCCUUCCCUUCCCUUCCCUUCCC
rnacentral:lncRNA from 1 species